UACGUAGGGUGCGAGCGUUAAUCGGAAUUACUGGGCGUAAAGCGUGCGCAGGCGGUUCGUUGUGUCGGUGGUGAAAGCCCCGGGCUUAACCUGGAAAUGGCCAUGGAAACUGGCGAACUGGAGUGUGGCAGAGGGGGGUGGAAUUCCGCGUGUAGCAGUGAAAUGCGUAGAGAUGCGGAGGAACACCGAUGGCGAAGGCAGCCCCCUGGGCUAGCACUGACGCUCAGGCACGAAAGCGUGGGGAGCAAACAGG
rnacentral:rRNA from 1 species